UAUAGAAUAAGGAAUAUUCUUAAAGAAUAUCUAUCCUAGGUAGCAUAUAUGUAGAUACCAUUACUCUGAAAAUAAGAGGAGAUUUUAGAAACCAUAGAAAAUACUCUCUAUCAACUUCAGCUACUGUUUUGGAAAAGAGUUGAUUCCCUUGGCUUUCAAUUUCGACAAAAAAAUUCAAAAAAUUCGUAUUUUGUGAUCUUCAUAAGUUGAGAAACAUGGUUUGAAGUUGAGGGUUUCCUGGUUUUCCUUUGGGGUAUACUGGUUUUAGCUAUUGUAGCUGAUUGUUGAAGUCCGGUUCCUUAUUUUAGUUGCUGAUCUUGAGUUUCUGUUACUGCUCUCUUGCUCUAAGCUUUCAACCACCUUAAUCAUAUAUUGGUUGCUGUUUUUAGGUAUUUACCUCAGCUUUUCUCCAUUGUAAUGCCUUAACGCGAGUUGCUUAAAACCUCCCUUAUUGUCUUUCUUGCUUUCGGAUAAGAAAGAUUAGUCACUUUAACCUACCUUCCUACCUUUAGUUGCCUUAACGCUUGUCUUUCUUGCAGAACGUUGUUACUUUUAAGCUGUCUUUUCGCCUGAGGCUUUCGGACAAGACUACUUACUCCAGUAGCUUAGUAAGCUACCUCUUCCGCUUUCAGGCAAGGGUAGCUCUGAAGGGAGAGUUGAGCGGAACCAGGCAUAAGGAGCAACAAUCGCUAUUGAUAGUUCCCCCGCUAGGGGAACGUCAGGAGGGGGACAUGCUCUAUGUCCACUGAUUCUGUUUAGUACAGUAUAGGAAGCCCUUGUUUGAGUGAGAGCUUCUAGAAUGCCAUUCAUUUCGCAAUAAGAAACUUUUCCACAUAGAGGUUUCAGCUACUUAAAGCGAGAGUGCAUCCAAAAAUUCGAGAAGAGUGCUCGGCCUUGGUUGAAACAAUUAUAGGUGUCAAUGGACCGAUUUCACUAGCAGAGCACUUUCUCCAAUGUGCGCAAAGAGCAACAAUCGCUACUACUAGUUCCCCUUUUUGAAAUGGUAUAAAAUUGGAUUUAUAAAUGGUAUUUGUAGAAAUAAAUAUCUUUCAUGCUAGUAGUAGCAUACAUUGAUAUGAAUUUGAUUCGUUUUGACUAUGUGAGUUUAAAGUAUGAGGUGAUGUAGCAUGAAUAGCGUAGUUAAUAUAUGAGUAACUUGUAGCUUUAUCUGAGUCGUUAUUAAUGUUGAUUAUGAAAAUUUAGUCAUGUUUUCUCUUCUUUCUUUUAUCUGAGUGAAUGGCCUUCUCUUUACUUAAAGUUGCUUGAUUUUUUCUGUUUGGGCAUGAGCUGCUACCUGCAAAUUUGGCCACUAGUUAUCCAAGUCAGUAGGUUCAGAAGCUGAAAAUUGGGAAUCAUGUCAUUUUAACACAAGAGGAGACCAAGAUCUAAUGGACAAAUCAUGUUCAAAAGAGGCAUGAAUUCCUUAUUAUGUCAGUUAUACAAAAUUUGUAAUAGAUUAGAUCUUAAUGUAGUUAAUUUAUAUAUUUAAUAAGUCAUAAUGUAAUAUAUUGAUAUUGAGAAACUUCCUAGUUUAUUUGAAUACUAAAAUGAUAUUAGCCCAAUGUGGGAAAACUUGAUUAAAACUCUAUUAGAGGCGAAGGGUCUUUGAGCUCUUUUCUGCUAGGUAUGAUUUCCAUGGCGUAUUCACAAUAUCUUCCAAAAUGGCAAGUGUACGACAAUCGUAACUUGUUAAAGAAAUAAUUUCAUAAAUCGUAAAAAGCGGAUUUUAAAUAAAUAUAAGCG
rnacentral:lncRNA from 1 species